AAAGACAUUGGACAUA
rnacentral:sRNA from 1 species